AUAUAAGAUUUGAUAUCUAAAUUUUAAUUAAUUUAAUUUAAUUAGAAAAACGAAAUACAUUAUUAAUUUCCAAAAAAGUAACCUAUUAAAAUCAACAAAUUAGAUUUGAUAUCUAAAUUAUCAUAUUAAUUUUUUAUUAAUUAUUAUAGUUCACUUCUCAUCUUUAUAUGAUUCUAUUUUUGCGAAAAAUAAUAUCAUCAUUAUAAAAAGAAAAUUAGAGUUUUUUCGCAUAUGCAAUAAUUUGAAUUUUUGAAAACGAAUAUAAACUGUUCAAUACAUGAAAAAAUAUUAUAACGGGUGAAAAAUAGAUUUAAGAAAACUUUCUACUGAGUAACGAGUCAUAAUUUGAAAUAUUUAUAUUCAAUUUCAUACAUAUUAUAUUGAAAAUUUAUAAUCUUAUAUACUACAAUAAUUAAUAACAUAUUAGAUUUUUUUAUGUGUAUGAUAUGAUUCAAUUUUUAAUACAAGCUGGAAAAUCCUAGAAUUGACGGAUUUAGAUCGAUAUUAAUACAAGAUGGUAUACUACAGGUGAAACUCUUAAAUUAACAAUCAAACUACAAGUGUAUAAUCUUAAACACUAAACAAUAUAGAUAAUAUCAACAAAACAUAUACAACUCACAGUUUACUUUUAAUAUUUUAUAUACAAAAUCAAUUAAAUCAUAAAUUAAAUCUUAAUCACAUAAAAAUUAGCACAAAAAAAGUAUUCAACAAUUAAAUUUUUAUCAAAUCUCUGUGUUAUAUAAGUUUUGAUACUAUAUUCGAAUAAAGUGUAAUAUACCUUUUCAAUUUGUAUUCUUUAACUAAUUUAAGCUAACUAAUAUAUUUGCUAAUCUUAUACCUAUCGAAACCGACUAUCGUUUCUUAUCUCUAUAGUAUUUUUGCAAGACUUUUUUGGUGGAUUUGGGUAAAAGUGCAUUCGGGUCAUAUGGUACAUUCCCCUAUUAAAUAAAAAUGGUAUACUCCUAUGUUAUUAGCUAAAAUGUUUAGAUUAUAAUUUAGAGUCAUAUCAUUAAUAAAAUUAAUAUUAAUAAAAUAAAUGGCUUUUUGGCAAGACGGAUUUGGAGUGACGGGUUUUUGAAUCAACAUUAAUAAAAAAGUAAAAUAUAAUUAAUACACCGUUUCAAUACGGGUUAAAUCUUUAAUUUAUUAUCUUUUAAGACCACUAAUAUUAAACAUAUCAAAUCAUUCUAAUUUAGAAAAU
rnacentral:sRNA from 1 species